CAUAUGGAUCACCUACCACUCAAAAUCCAACCAUUCCAUGUCAUACCUCAUCAUCUGCAAAACAGCCAAGAAGGAAAAGUAAUUCUGUAAGCAGUUAAAUCUCUUUGAGGUGGGCAUUACAACAACCAGCAGGUUCUUCUGCCACCUCCGCACAAAGUUACUAAUUCGUCUUAAAGAAGGAACCACAUCAUGAGAAGGAAAGAAGAUAACAAAAUCACUAACUCACGCACUCUGCACAGGAACGCCCAACACCGGUGUUGCUUUUCUCAGGAAAUGGCGAAGGCGGAGGUAGGCUCCUCGACCCAACUCCAGCUUUCAACAAUUUGACUAACACAAAACACAUUAUUAACAUCCAGCAUGGAUAUAGGUCUACUGUAUAACAACUCUUUCCAUGAAAAUUUGUUUUGUUCAUGGUAGAAAUUUGUUUUUGUUUACAUCACUUUGAAUAUAGGUGUAGUACAACAGCUCUUACAGACAUUAGCACAAACAAUUUGCAGGCAAACUUAUACCUGGCAGAACACAACCUAAGAGAAGCUAAAAUUCCACCGCAAAAACAUACGAAGAAUGCAUAUGUAAGUGCAAAUCGCCAUGGUUAUUGGUCUAUCAACCAACAACAGUUCAGAGAGACAAAUGCUAGCAAGGGAUUUCCUAGAAUUUUGCCAUAUGCUCUUUUCUUUGUCCAAAUAACUUCAUAUUUGGUGCUAAAGUUAGUACUUCGUCUUGGAAAAGGAAUCCAUCAUGAGAUGGAAAGGAGAGAAUAAAAUCACUAACUAUCAAUUGAGAGAGGGGAGAAAGGGAGUCGAGCUUACCUCGGUGUUGCGUAUCGUGGCGUCGAGCAAGAGCCGCUGGUGGUGCCGUCAUGGAAGGAGCCGCUCCACCACUGGUGCCAUGGCAUCAGAAGAGCUGCAGCCAGGGAUGAGACGAGGAUACGCCGCCAGACUCUUUCUUCCUCUUCCCGUGUGAGAUCCUUCUUUCACUCCCUUGAUUCACCUCUUCUCCUGCUCCGUCUCACUUGCUGCCCUCCAUCCUCGGCGGAUCCACAGCGCUGGAAGCUGGUGGGGCGAGGUGGCGGAAGGAGGAGGCGUGUGGAUCUG
rnacentral:lncRNA from 1 species